GCCGGAGUGAUGAAAUUGGUAGACAUGUGGGUCUCAAAAACCCAUGGGCCUAAAGCUCAUGUCGGUUCGAAUCCGACCUCCGGCA
rnacentral:tRNA from 1 species